rnacentral:rRNA from 1 species
UACGUAGGGGGCGAGCGUUGUCCGGAUUUAUUGGGCGUAAAGAGCUCGUAGGCGGUUGGGUAAGUCGGGUGUGAAAACUCAGGGCUCAACUCUGGGACGCCACUCGAUACUGCCCUGACUCGAGUCCGGUAGGGGAGCGUGGAAUUCCCGGUGUAGCGGUGAAAUGCGCAGAUAUCGGGAGGAACACCAGUGGCGAAGGCGGCGCUCUGGGCCGGAACUGACGCUGAGGAGCGAAAGCGUGGGUAGCAAACAGG